GACCGACCUGGGGAAGGAAUGAGGUCACAUUCCAUGAGACAGAGUCAAGGCAGUUCACGCAUCACUUCAAAUACUCACUCUCUUGGAAAAAUACCGGCAGGGUUAGAUAUUCAUGCCAAAUAAGAAAACUGGAUAUACAAAAUGGAUAUUAAGACUGAGCACAGUAUCCAGCCUUCCAGGACCAUAGGCCUAAAGGGGACCAAUGGCUCAGCCAUGGGUCGUAGCCCUCCAAAGACUCGUUCAUGUCCUGCCCCCGUCCUGUACUUAUCCCCAGUCUCCAGAAGAUCAGCUGGCAAGUGGGAGGAGUUGCAGUAUGCCAGGCCUUCCCUCUGGCUUCCACCCCUCUUUGUAUGUGACUUAAACACAUAAUACGUUGUUAUGAAUGACUUUUAAUUCAUUGACUUUUCAAGAUAUUUUGGGGGCACCUACUUCAGUCAGGCACUGUGCUAGGAGUAGUGAAUAUGAUACAUUAGUUACUACCUUGCCCCUACAAUCCAAAUAUGAAACUGGAGAUGAACAUUUUGAUAGGUAAGUAUAGGGUUCUAUAGGAACUAACAUUAUUCCUUUCUUCUUUCCCUCUCCUCAUUCCUUCCUUUUUCUAUUCUUUCCUUCCUUCCAUAAAUACUUAUUAAGAACCUACUAUGUGCUGGUAUUAGUCAAGGUGCUAGAGGGGAAAGUAGUGAACAACAGAGAUGCCUGCCACCUUGGAGUUCACAUCCUGGUGAUGACUGGGGAAUUUGACCUGGGGUAGGAACAACUUGUGAAGGAACUUCAACUUGUAAACCAGGCCAGAGUUUGAACUUUAUCUGGUUGAUAAAAGAGAACCUAAUAUUAAAUUUAGGCAAGGGAAUAGUCUAAGUAGAUUUGUGUUUCAGAAAAAUCACAGGAAACUACAUGGAGGAUGAGUGGCAGGAGGUGAGACUGGAAGCAGUAAGAUCAGAUUGGAAGUUGCUGGGAGACCAUGAGAGAGAUGGGUUGGUGCCCUAGACCAAGUGGGCUGCUGAGAAAGGAAGAGAGCCCCACAAUUCACUCCCACAGGGCCAGUGGUGAUGGUGGCACCUUGAACAGGAUGGCAAAGCAGCACCUCUUCAAAGUGAUAUUCGAAAAAACAUGUACAAAUCUAUUUGGUGGGCAUAGAGAGAAACAAAUGACCUGUUAUUAAAAAUUGCAUUAUGUUGCUUUAUGUUAAUUAUGCAUACUGAAGAUGACAUUUCAAAUCAUUUGCAUUGUCUUUCAUUUCACAAUUUCUGUAUCACUCCUAGGAGGGUAGCAAACUGAGAUACCAUGGGAAGAGUCCAUCUACUCUGCUGGAGGCACCACAUGGAGAGAGGGAGGGGUCCAGCCAAGCCCAGCCCAGUCUCCAGCUGUCCCCACCAGGGUGCCAGGCAUGUGAAUGAUGACAUCCCAGGAUCCUCAGACCAGACCAACUGCCAUCUAAAUACUGCUGAGUAACCCCAGUCAAAGCCCCGUGAAGCCUAAGUGUCUCCAGACUAAGCCCUGCCUGAAUUUAUGACCCAUAGAUGAUGUGAAAGACACACAUCCCAACUGCCAUUAGCAGCCACCAUCCGAUCGCAAGGGGAACUGGAUUUGUGAAGAAGCCAAUGCUAUUGAGGGUAAAGGGAAGAGAUGGAAAGAACCUAAGACCACAGUAACAUCAUCGAAUCACUGAAUCAAUCAACCUGGAAGCCCACCCUACAGUUGUACAGGUCACACAGCAGCAAGUGGUGGAAUUGGAAUUUGAACUGAAAAAGUCUGACUCCCAAGCUCUGUCUCUUAACUAUUCUAAACCAAGGAAGUAGUAACAAGGAAAGUAGUAGCACCAAUAAAAUAAGUAAAUAAAAAGUUUUAUAGAUUUGUUUAGUAAGAAAGGAUGAUGCAUGGGGGAUGUGGAUUUGGGAGUGAACGAAUCAAUUAUGAGGUACAAGUGGACCCUCAAUAUUUUACACAUGCCCAUGAACACUAUUUAUUGAUGUUUUAUAAAUACCUACGUAAUUACAUAUUC